CCUACGGGCGGCAGCAGUGAGGAAUAUUGGUCAAUGGACGAGAGUCUGAACCAGCCAAGUAGCGUGAAGGAUGACUGCCCUAUGGGUUGUAAACUUCUUUUAUAUGGGAAUAAAACGUUCCACGUGUGGGAUUUUGUAUGUACCAUAUGAAUAAGGAUCGGCUAACUCCGUGCCAGCAGCCGCGGUAAUACGGAGGAUCCGAGCGUUAUCCGGAUUUAUUGGGUUUAAAGGGAGCGUAGGUGGAUUGUUAAGUCGGUUGUGAAAGUUUGCGGCUCAACCGUAAAAUUGCAGUUGAAACUGGCAGUCUUGAGUACAGUAGAGGUGGGCGGAAUUCGUGGUGUAGCGGUGAAAUGCUUAGAUAUCACGAAGAACUCCGAUUGCGAAGGCAGUUCACUGGACUGCAACUGACACUGAGGCUCGAAAGUGUGGGUAUCAAACAGGAUUAGAUACCCCAGUAGUC
rnacentral:rRNA from 1 species